CCCUAAGGGAGACACCAGCCACCCUGCGGAGAAAACCCAUCUCGGCCGCUUGUAUCCGCGAUCUCGUUCUUUCGGUCAUGACCCAUCCUUCAUGACCAUAGGAGGACUUGAAUGAGAUAAGACACGUUUGGAACGCAGAUCGCAUCAGGCCCUCUACAAACGCCAAUGUCCCCGCAGGAAUACCUAUAUCAUGUAUACGGCACCUCAUUUGUGGGGUGCAGAUGACCUUCUUGUUCCAUUCAGUGAAGACUUACCCACUUGCAAAGAGAGCUGCAAGUUCCUAACUUCAGUUCCAUGUGAUGAGGACAUGUUUGAUUUGUGCACAAUCAUAAUGGAAGAAUCAGGCAUGGGGUUCCCAAUGAAUUUCCAGAUGUAGUUCAUUCUGAUGAAACACGAACAUCCAGCUGCGGCUCAACAUCUGUCUGGACUCUGGAGUCGACCUCUUUGCAGGAUUAAUGGCACGUGUCGAGCUGAGUGUGCAGAAAUAUGGAGAGAGGGAGAGGAGGAUCAUGGGAAAAAGAGGUCGUCCUGCCUAUUUCCAAUUCCUGACACCAUAUUGAUCAGAUUUCUGAUUUUUUCCUCAGAUUUGGGACAUUUUCAGAUCCAAAAAAUGGUUCAUUCAGUAUUCUGAGAAAAACUAUUGAAAAACUGACUUCAGGAAAUCAGAGAAAAAUGUAUUCUUCAGAAUGUUUUUCAUUUUCAAUAUUUUUUCAAAAAGAUUUGAUUCGAGAUUUUCUUUUACAAUUUGUAGUUCUGACCACAAAAAAAAUGUUCACUUGUUUGUUAGUGAACAGCAGAUGGCGACAAACACCAGCUUUUCUU